UAAUAGAUAAAGAAGUAUGUGCAGGAUUUAAUUUCACAACUAAAGAGGACUCCAAAGAAGAAUUAAAAUUCUGGUGGAUCAAAGGUCGAGGAAUGAUUUGGUUUUAACUGGUUUGCAUCUUAUGAACGAAGUACAUAAUAUGAUUUAAAUUAAUGAUUUAUAGUUACACCUAUUGAAAUUCUGUAUCUCAAUGAUAUCCUGGCUUAUUGAUACGAUAUCCUGUAAAUCCACUCACAC